AACGCACAUUGCGCCCCUCGGUAUCCCGGGGGGCAUGCCUGUUCGAGCGUCAUUUCUACCCUUCAAGCUUUGCAUGGUAUUGGGCAUUAUUAUUUCUUAGGAAGUAAUAGGCUUUAAAUAUAGCCGGCGGCAAGCCCUAGUCCCAAGCGUAGCAGUAAAACAUUUCGCUUUAGGAGUCCUGGGGUAUUGUUUACCGUAUAGUGAUUUUUUAUAGUUUGACCUCGGAUCAGGCAGGGAUACCCGCUGAACUUAA
rnacentral:misc_RNA from 1 species